rnacentral:lncRNA from 1 species
AGGGAUCCUGCUUGGAUGAAAGGUCUUCAGGGACUGUCUCAGGUUACACUCAGGUGCCCUCAGAGCUACUGUGUUCAGGGUUCUUGUCUCCAGGAUGAAAAUAAGGAGGAGUUGUCAGACAAGGACAUAUACAUGGAGGCUGGCAUCUUCAUGAGUGCCAAUCGUGGUCCUGGUGUGGACUACUGUGGGAGCAGGGGUCUCUCCAUCCAGGGACAUGGUGGGUGGACCCUACAUCACUCCAUUCUGCCCUUCCUUUCCGUCCCAUUCUCCUGAGGGACUCAAUGCAUGGGCACUGUCCAACCUCUGGUGCUGAAGCAGCCAAGAGACCCAAGCCUGCCUUGCUGCCACUUAGGAUAUGACAGCACAGCCAGUGGCCUCUACUGGAUCCUGGUACCCCUCAGAAGACACCCAGACACUGGGAGUGCUGCCACCUCGUGGUGCAAGAGUUCUGAGGGACGGCAAUUCUGAAGACAUUGAAUGCCGUUUUGCACACCCUGGUCAGAAUGAAACAUUCCUUGGGAACUCGGGCCGUGAGAAGCAUCCUUCCUGAUCACCUGACUG